rnacentral:rRNA from 1 species
UACGUAGGGUGCAAGCGUUGUCCGGAAUUAUUGGGCGUAAAGAGCUCGUAGGCGGUUUGUCGCGUCUGCUGUGAAAACUCGGGGCUUAACUCCGGGCCUGCAGUGGGUACGGGCAGACUAGAGUUCGGCAGGGGAGACUGGAAUUCCUGGUGUAGCGGUGAAAUGCGCAGAUAUCAGGAGGAACACCGAUGGCGAAGGCAGGUCUCUGGGCUGACACUGACGCUCAUGCACGAAAGCGUGGGGAGCAAACAGG